UUUGGUUAUAGCUCCUCUCCUUCCCUUUUCCCAAGAGCUGCUUCUUUAAAAGGGCUUCCCAUGGUCUUCAAAUAAGCCACCUGCAGGUUUGUGAACACAAUUUUGCGCCUGUGCACAGCAGCCCAGAAGUGCAAAUGCAAAGAGUGGCUGUGACACAAGCAGUCGAUGCAGUCUGUAUGUACCAUGUAGCAGGAUCCAUGGUUCAGAACUUUACUUACUGCAAAGGGCUUGUGCAGGACUGUGAAGGAAGUUUUAGAGGUCAAGUGAAAGUCUUAGCUUUAAACUCUUUGCCCACAGUCUCUUGUUCACUUCUAUGUCAUAGUACUUCUCUCUUGCUUUGUGUUAUUACACCCAGUGCCCAGUGAAAAUAUUUUUCCCAGGAAGUCUCAAGGCGUUUAUAUCGAUUAGCUAGUUGUUACCUGUUAAUGGCUGGUUUCUGUCUUGGCUCCCAUACCUGAGCAACACGGACAGUUCCAAAAGCUGGUUCAAUUAAUUUUUUUCUCCAUUGUCUGAAUGUUUUUUCCCCUUUUUUGUCUGUGUUCUGUUAAAAUUUCUACUUCUGUUCUCUUGUGCUGUUGCAGGGAAGGGGAUGUGUUAGAAUUAACUCUUGCGAGCCUUCUAAGAGUUAGGAGUUGCCAGUCCUGCCACCUGAUCAGAGGCGUGCCCUGUUUUCUCAGCAGUAGGUUUCUCUAAAGCUGCAGCAGCACAUGUGUGGUUCCCCUUUCCUGCCCUAGGGAUUCCCCUGGAACCGGGCUCCUGUGGGCAUCUCAGCCACGCUCAUACCCAAGGACUUGACCACUUCUAUGCUAAGAUCCUGCUCAGCUGCAAAUUUGCUUCUCAAGUCUAGAGGUGUAAAUAUGGGCUAAUUUAACAGACCUAUUUCCCUAGCAAGUCUUCAGGUCUUUGUUAAUGGCGUCAUGCCUUAGGAAGGCAGUGUUGAGCAUUGGUCCUUGGAAGCUGUAAGUUACGCCCUGUGUAUGUUGUGCAUCAUAACAGCUGCUUUUCCUCUACCAGUAAGCAUCAGAAUUCUGAAUUUCCUUCUGUCUGGGUGUAGGAGGCAUUGUGCUACUAGAGUAAAUAUCCUCCCAGUCGGACAUGCUUUGCUGUGUUCUGUACUCAGCUGAGCAAGCUGUGAGGAGCAUUUUGCUGGGCACGUGCGCCAGCACUGCACACCUGAUGGUGUGGCUCAGGGAUGAUCGCUGGCUGCCCCACACCGGCCGCGCUGCGUCCUGGUCUGCACAGCUCCCUGGGAGGUGGUGGCUGGACUGAAGAGGAGUUAGGUUUGGAGCCAAUAAGAGCUAGUAAGAAAGAUUCCUGCAAAUUAAAUGAAUGCCUACAAAACAGUACAAAAACUGUUCCUUGUAGGUCAGGGACAUAAGGAGAGGUGUAACGCACAGUGGUUUUUUUCCUAGUAAUCUCUAAAAAUAUGCUUGCUAGACUGUGUGUGAGAAGCACUCGGAUGAGUAGCGAUGAUAGUCUUUCUGAGCCACUGUGAUGGCUAUUACCUUCAUUUGUAGCCAGCGCUGACAGUCUGCUGUCUUUGUUUCUGUCCUUGUUGGGCAGCUCUUAUGGCUUCUGCAAGGACAGGUUUGCAUGUGCUACGGCUGGACUAGGCAUGUUUGGUUAAUGGCAUCUAAAAACCAGGAUGAUUGGAAGCAGCAGCAGAACCAUCUGGUCUCCUGGUCUGUGUCCUAGAAUACCUUGAAUGCUGCUUGUUUAUGUUUGAGGCAAUUGAACUUCUGCUGCCUCUGUUGGUUUAAAGUCUUGAGUAGUUCGGAGAGGGGAAAGCAGUGCUGCUCCUUUUGAGUUUCAUGUUUGGGCUGGUGCCAGGGGAUACUCCUGCUGUGGGUGCAUAUGUUGGUGGGUGCUGCAGGAGACUUGGUAGUGUGCUGAAAAGCGGAUAUCCAGUGUCUUACGUAAAGCAGGCAGUGUAGGUUUGUGGCUCUGUGUGUAACCGUAGGGUCCUGGUCUCACCAAAAAAAAUGUUGUUACAGAGUACGCUUGAUGUAAUCGAAGUAUUACAACUGCCCAGUUCUUGUCCUGACGUUAGAACGAGCAGCCUCGCUAGGCAUCUGCUGCUUUCCAUGGCUCACCAGCUGCAGGGACAGGGUGCAGAGCCGCAGAUGCACAGCUGCAGUGUCACCAGUUGUGAGGGCUUGGAAUGUAUGCAACAGUGAGGCUUCAAUUUGUUCAUCUUGCAGCUUCUCCCAUGACUUAGUCGUUCUUUUAUGAAGUGCAGUCAGAGUUCCACAGGGAGCAGGCAAGUUCCAGCAAGAGCUUUCAAGCAGCGAAUGUCAAUGUCGUUCACAUCCCCUGCCGGUCCCCCCCGCCCCGGAAACAGAGUCAUGUAAAUAUCCCAUGUGCUGUGGGCAGAGCUCCAGUGAGAACAAACCUCUGUGCUCCAAGGUCGGAUUAGGAGCGUGUUCAGAUAAUGACAUCUGAAAACAGGAUGGCUGGGAGCUGCAGCAGAGCAGUGAGGGGGCUUUGAAAGAGAGAGGAGUCUAAUCCUCUCUGCUAAUAAGAAGGCAGCUGCUGCCAGUGCAUCAGGCUUGGCAAGCGCCACUUUGCUGCUUCUGGGUUCUUUUGGCGGGUGGCAGGCGCAAAGACCCAGCUGCUUUGAGAUAGUAGGGGAAGAGCCACACAGGAGGGGUUUUCUUUGCUUUCUUUGAGUAGAACAAGAACUUUGCCAUUGCUUCCCCCACCCCCGGUCCCCAGGAGCACUUUGGCAGGACAGGCGUCAGGGCAGUGUUUCGUGCCAGGCCAGUGCCUGGGAGCAGUUCAGCUGGCACCGCAGAGCCCGCGACCGGCUGCGCGGGCGUGGAUGCACAGACACCCCGACACUUGCCAUCGGUGCAGAACCAGUUGCAGCUCCCGAGUGCUCGAGCCCAGCCUUGUCAGGAGGGCUGGGUGUGUGCUGCCCUGUGUGCAGUCUCGGUGCCUCACCAGUGGAUGAACAGCAGUGGGCAGGGUGGAAGGCGGGGGUCGGCACAGAGGCAGCUUUUGUGCAGUUUUGAUCCGUUUACAAAUUUCCCCGAGGACCACUGGGAUGGUGCCUGCUGUGGGCUCCCACUGAGGGGGCGAGUACUCGGGGACAUGUCGGGACCUGGCGGGUAGCGCGAGGGCAGUUGCUCUAGAGCACAUGAAGUGCUGUGAACAUGCACGUUUCCCCCCUCCUCCCCCGCAAAGUAACUUGCUUAGUUCCACGUAAAAAUGGCAUCUACUGCCUGUCCCCAGCUGCCUCGUCCAGAGCAGGGAUGCUGGUGAUGGAAAGCUGUUCUAGCCCCAGCUCCAGUGUGGAAGUGCCCAGGCCUGGGGUGAGUCUUGGGCAGGAGAACGGUGGGGACAAGCUGCCGCAAGCGUGCAGUGGUUUUAUCUAAUCUAUUGUUCCUUUACAGUCAGCGUUUGUGACUGCUGGAUCAGUUGCACCAAGGCAGUGUUGUGUCAUGCUCUGGCUGUCAGGACACGCUCUUGCCUGAGAGACGUUCUCAUCCCCGAUGGCCUCGCUGUACUUUACAACCGCGUGGGCUAUGCCAGUUUCUGCAGCAGGAGAAAACCUAUGGAGUGGCCAGAAUCAAACUACAAUCUCCAGUAUCAACAUGCAGCACAGACAAGGUUGGAGGCAAGAAUUUUUCACCAGGUGCAGAAUUGCAAAGUUUCACAGCAAGGGCAUGAAAGAGGUGUAACUUGGUCUGCUCUCCUCCUUUAGCCACUGGACAACGUUCAGUCCCUAGCACCCGAGUGAAGAUUACAAGCCUCAACAGAUGUAAUCCCAAGGAAAUCUCAAUGGAAGGUGCCUCUCUCAGACCUGAUUCAAUGCCCUGUUACAUCAAUGCAAAUGCUCCUGCUGGGAGCAUGCUGAAAUGCAGCAUUGGAGAAGCCUUCGACCAGCUCUUGGUGAUGACAGCAGGAAUAUCUAUGUGAAAGAAGCUUUGCCAGUAGCUCGUUUUGCAGAGGGGAGCACAAGAGGUAUGGAAACUUCUCAGAGCCUGAUGCUGGGAAGAGCUAAGUGUGCCUGCCUCUGCACUUCUCUCACCCGUGAUCCUUGACGCUCAGGUCCAAGCUGUGCUCCUGCAAGGAGUCCUGACUGGUGGCAG